rnacentral:lncRNA from 10 species
CCGCCCCCAACCCAGAGCGCUGCGGCCUCCGUGAGCGGGGCCUGGGCGAAGGGGGCGGGGCGUCGAGGGGGCGCCCCGGCGGUCGCAGGGAAGGGGGAGAGGGGAGCGAGGCGCGGGGGGCGCCGGGAGAGCGCCUCCGCGGUGGGACGGAGCCGGACUGGGCCGAGCGAGGGAGGCUCCUGAGCCUCGGAGGACCCCGGGGUUGGCUUUGGGAGCUGAAAGUUUCCUUGGACCCCUCGGAAGCCCCGUGACAUCAGAGGCCGGGCCUGGCAGGGGCAGGCAGGAAACGUGUCUGGAGGCUACUGCCCUCUCCGCGUGACCUUGGGCGAGCAGCCUCCUCCUGGGGCUCAGUGGGUGUGAUUUUGUAACAUUUCCCAGCGCUGCCACAGGCGCGUCUCGCCCUGUCCAACGCGGAGCCCGAAGAAUUACUAAGAAACCGAGGUCUGAAGGAGGGAAGAGGUGACGGGCUCGAGGCCACACGGUGGGCCAGGCUGGGCCCGGCUGCACGCCGGCUACCGGGGCCCAGCCCUCUGCACGCCUCCCGCAGCCUCAGUUUCCCUGUCCGUGGUACUGAGGAUGCUCGGGCCUAGAAGUUCAGGGCUGGAGGCCCAGGGACCGUCGAGGGAGGGGCAUCAUCCCCGCCAUGGGGCCGCCGCAACUGCCCAGAGCACAGGCCAAAGGCUUCUGCCAUCACUCUGUGUGACUUCAACAUUCUACCUGCAUGACCUAUGCAGCACCUGGCCGCUGUUACCUUGCCACCCUCACUGACAUCUUCUCUGCAUAGGCCUUCCACCAUGCCCUGUACUUUCUCCCCACUAGAAAUAGCCCUGGCUCUGAAAUGUGUUUUAAUCAUCCCACUUUGGGUCCACCAGUUCCUAGCCUUUGAGCUUAGGCCUCUCCUCCAGGACCCUCCCUGGCUACGAUUUCCCAACCCCUCUCGACCUUCCAUUCACUGACCUUGCCACUUUCUUGCCUCUUGUCUGCACCUCUCCCCAUCCCUAGUGUGGAUUCCAUCCCCUUGUGAACGCUGCCACCCGUCCUGGCAGAGACUCAGUACUUCCACUCUCUGAAUGCAUUUCUUCUUCCUAGGCACACCAGAAGACUACAUUUCCUAGCCCCCCACCCCCUUGCAGUGUCUGGGACCAUGUGACUCCUUAAUUAGGUCACUUCUCUCUCCUGGGAGGCCCUCUCUGCCCUCUCUAAGUCUAACUAGUGGCAAAGGAUCUAAGGGAAGAAACCUGGCAGAGUUACUAGUCCCAAGAAGCCUGGGUCCCUGAAUCACCACAUGGAAGUCUACGCGCCCACCACCUGAAUGGACUAAGGAAGCUGCAGGAUGAAGACAACAGCAUCACAAGGAGGAAGCCAGGAUCCCUGUGUUACCACAAGGAGGAGAGAUGCCUAACCAAGACCGUCUGCAAGGAUUUUGUGUGAGCCAGAAGCAGAGCUGUAUGGUGUUCAGCCACUGAGAUUUGAGGGCUGUUUGUUACAGCAGUUGACCUAUCCUGACUGACACAUCACAUCAUUCCUUUCCCCACCAUGUGUCUAACAUGCUACCAAAUUGAAUUUUAAGUAAAUUAGUACUUAUAAAUUAAGUACAAAUGCUUUUCAAAUUCACAUGAAUCUUUGGUAAAUAAAACUGGUUGUAAAAUUAUUGAUAAAUAUAGA